ensembl:snoRNA
UGUCCCAUUGUACUGCCUCUUAUUUGCACUACAAAAUAAGAGAUAAUCCUUAUGGGAUAAAUAAAUAUUUGUCAUAGUCUGAUGGAGAAGAAUGAAUACCAGCUUCUUUCUAUAUGAAAUGGCAGAACAAAGCAUU